UAACCUGACCUUAAAUAAAACAAUUUUAAAAACAAUAUAAACACAAUUCUGUCUGUCACCUCUUACUUUAUGCAGUUUCACAGGUUGAAAAGAAUCAUAUCCCCCUUUCUCUUGUGUCACAGGUACCCCUCAGACAUGAUAGUUAUCCCAAGGCUUGGAUUGCUUGACUUCUGCCAAACACAGUGACAGAGUGAAAACCUGUUCACAGAAAGAAGCCUUGUCAAAGCGAUCCAAGAUGUUUGAAAAGAGAAAGUCAUCUGAUGAGUGUUCAUCUACCCCACCACAAGGCACUUGUGGAAAGCAAACGAAUGAGGAAAAUGUGAAGAUGGAGAGCCCCAGCAG